rnacentral:rRNA from 1 species
CAGCCGCCGCGGUAAUACGCAGGGUGCAAGCGUUAAUCGGAAUUACUGGGCGUAAAGCGUGCGCAGGCGGUUCGGAAAGAAAGGUGUGAAAUCCCAGGGCUUAACCUUGGAACUGCACUUUUAACUACCGGGCUAGAGUGUGUCAGAGGGGGGUGGAAUUCCGCGUGUAGCAGUGAAAUGCGUAGAGAUGUGGAGAAACACCGAUGGCGAAGGCAGCCCCCUGGGCCAAUACUGACGCUCAUGCACGAAAGCGUGGGGAGCAAACAGGAUUAGAUACCCGUGUAGUCCCUGUCUCUUAUAC